AGACAGUCCCAUUUGUUGCAUUAUGCUAUUCAGUUUUGGGACCAAAUAAUUGAGUAUUACUGGAUUAAAAAUCAUGGAUUGUUGCUGUGAUGAACUAAUAAAUUUUAAUACUAUUGAGUGUGUUCUUGCGGGAUACAAAUGCCCUGCAUGUUGCUGUCUUGUGCUGUCCAAAAUAGGACAAAUUGAAUGUGCUUGUGAGUGAUUUUUUCAAAGGAAACUUUGCAAAUUCUCAUGUUUAAAUUCUAAAGUUUGCAUGCAGGUAAGCUAUGGUUGUAGGGGUUUAUAAAUCGAGUUUAGUAGCUAAAAUAUUAUGUUAUUCUUACUAAGUUCGGUUGUUAGUAGUGAAGUGAAAAUUUGACAAUUAAAUGCUUAAAUGACUGCUGGAAACUACAGCUUGAAAGCUCAUUAUUCCAGCAUAUAAAUUCUUAUUUGAAUGUGUUGUAAUAUGUAGAGCAAUUGGUCUGCUGCAUGUAUGAAAUAAAAGAAGAACAAUAGUUGUUAAAUAUUAGUUUUUGCUGCUGAUCGAAAAGGUUAAAUUCGUUGUUAAAGGGGAUGUAAAUUGGUGUUAAUUAAGCUGUCAGAUAGGGCUAAUAAAACAGUUUGAAUGUGAUUCUAUUAAGCUGAUUUAAUGUAAAGUGAACUUUUUUUUCAGAAACAAGCACAUUAUGAUUGAUCUUGGCAUCGAUAAUAACAAGAUUAACUGGGCUCUCAAGGACAAACAGGAGUUCAGAGACAUCAUUGGGACUGUAUACCGUGAGGCAUGGAAAGGCCGUGGUUUGAAAGAUUACUCGAAAAAGUACUGCUAUUGAGUAUUCUUCCAACAUGUAGUUGAUCAGAAUGUAAAUUGUAUGUAGAUAUGUGUGUCAUUUGCAAUGUUUGGUUGCAUGAAUGUGGAGGAUAAUCCAAUUUGAGAUGAAACUUUGAAAUAUAUAUUUUAUGUGCUCUUUUGAUGCUUGUUUACAGUAUAGCACCUUAGCUUGGAGUGAUUUUCCUUACAGUUGUUUGAUAAGGAACAAGUGUUUUAAUUUAACUAUAUAAAAAUAUAAAUGAUAUGUUUAUAAAGAUGAUAAUAUGUUGAUUCA
rnacentral:lncRNA from 1 species